rnacentral:rRNA from 1 species
AUUGAACGCUGGCGGCAGGCCUAACACAUGCAAGUCGAGCGGCAGCGGAAGGAAGCUUGCUUCCUUGCCGGCGAGCGGCGGACGGGUGAGUAAGGUAUGGGGAUCUGGCCGAAGGCGGGGGAUAACCACUGGAAACGGUGGCUAAUACCGCAUAAUCUCUAAGGAGCAAAGUGGGGGACCGUUCGGGCCUCACACCUUCGGAUGAACCCAUAUGAGAUUAGCUAGUAGGUGGGGUAAUGGCUCACCUAGGCGACGAUCUCUAGCUGGUCUGAGAGGAUGAUCAGCCACACUGGGACUGAGACACGGCCCAGACUCCUACGGGAGGCAGCAGUGGGGAAUAUUGCACAAUGGGCGCAAGCCUGAUGCAGCCAUGCCGCGUGUAUGAAGAAGGCCUUCGGGUUGUAAAGUACUUUCAGUCGUGAGGAAGGUGUUAAGGUUAAUAACCUUAGCAAUUGACGUUAGCGACAGAAGAAGCACCGGCUAACUCCGUGCCAGCAGCCGCCGCGG